AUGUGCACUUAUAAGGAAAGAAUCAACUAUUUUGUUACUUAUCUUAAAAAGUAAUCCUAUAAACUUUUUAAAAGAAUCACAAAUCUAAGUAAAUACAGCAGUUUCUACUUUGAAGGCUGAAGUGGGUGGGGAGGAAAUGUCAGAAGCAAAAGUUUCUGCCUCUGAGUCAGUGGGGGUGAAGUCGGGACACAGUCAACCACUCUGACAUCUACAAAGGUGAAUUGGUGUCCUGUGAGAACACACAAGCUAAGCUUCUCCUGGAAUAAAUCAUCUGACAUCGGAUCCUUCCCACUGUCUGAAUUUGGUGGAAAAUCCAAUGAUGGAGGCUGAACACUCAGCCUGACAUGAUGAGUCUGCUCUUGGGAUGGACUGUGACCUGAACUAGGACUCAAAGGCCAAGAGCGGAAGCCUCUGAUGUAGACGUUCAUCAGUGGAAGACACUGAGAAGCCUCUUCGCAGUGUGAAGAUCAGAAAGGAGCUUGGUAGCCACUGUGCCCAAUGCACUCUUGCACAGAUGAAGUCAAAGUGAUCCAAAGAGUUAAGUGUGACCCAAGAAGGGAAUGAAUAGACAACCAAGGAGUUCAGCACAUCACCGAUGUCUGAAGGUAUUUCUGAGAGGCAUGGUAGAGGUUCUUUAUAACAAGUGAAUAAGUUGUGCAUUUCAGUGGACAAAACCCUUCACCUUGGGCUCCCUUAAGAACAUCUUUGCCUUCUGGAUAUGAAAGGGAAGUGUAGCCAUAUCUUUUGCUGCUUUAUUGGGUUCUUAUAUCUACCACCCUUCUCUGCCCCAAUUCCACCCUUAUCCCUUGUAAACCGCUAAGACUAGAUAGGAGAGAAAGAACUUUAGAGGAGAAAGGGACAACUUCCUGCUGAUUAGGGGCAUCAAGUUCCUGAGGGCAAAUCCAGUCUCCAUCAUCAGAAUAUCUGUAACCAGAAACCAUCCAUCCAGCAGUCCAGCAAUAGCAAAAGCAGCAAAGGCAACAGCAGGAACUAGCCAUAGUAGGUGACCAGCAGCUGGGAGAGUUGUGGUGGUAUGAGGUGGGGGAAACAGCUGCCACCAAAUGCUUGCUCAAGGCUCUGGACUCUCAAAUUUAUACUCUCUCAUGAGUCCCCAGAAUUGCAAAAUUUGCAGAUAGCAAAAAUCAUGCCCCUUCUACAGCACUAGACCAUCCUGGUUAGCAGCUAUGGUCAAUGUAAAGCAGCCCCAUAUUCCACAACUUGGAUUAAACCAAAAACAUAAUCAUAUAACCUAACUACCUGUGUUUUUAAGAAACCAUAAUUCUCACUAGAGGGAAGUACCAGGGACUGCUUAAGUUCUCCUUGCACUGUAGGUUGAUUGAGUAGUUCACAGGCAGAGGGCAGCUAUCUCUGCUGGAAGCCAGAGACUCUGUGAGGACAAUGCACAGAUGUAAUGGGAUUCUUUGUUGUAGGACCAAA